UGGGUGACAUUAAGAUUGUUGAUUUUGGCC
rnacentral:piRNA from 1 species